UGAAUGGAAUGGGUGCUCUUACAUCGUCAUCUUACCUUUCUUUACAGAUGAGGAAAUCAAGGCACCCGGAAGAGAAGAGCAAGAAGUGUGAUGUCCAGGCUGUUUUAACUUGUUGGGUUCCAGAGAUGCCAGAAGAGAGGGAACAGCAUCUCCUCCUUGCCUGGAUUUUAAGUAGGCAGGGCUUCCUGAGAAUGAGGGCAUCCACACUAUGCCCAGAGAACUCAGAUCUCAAUUUGACAAGUGCUCCAGAAGACUCAGAGUGCCACACCCUUCCAGAGGUCUGCCUGAUGGAAUCAUGGAAGGUGUUUCAGACCAAGUGAACUUCGGAAUGGGUCUUAAAGGAUGGGCUGACAUUUGCCAAAUGGAAAAUGGUAUUCCAGGGAGGUGGAAGAGACUAUGAAAUUAUGAGCAUGCAAAGAAUGUUUUACACAAAGUGAGGACUCUGGUGUAUCUAAAGGUGGGAGGCAUGAUGAAGGCAGAAGGGUACAAGAAGGUAGGAGUAGUACUUGGAUAUGAACCUAACCAGUGGGCUGUGGAGACCCAAAAAUAGGUAGAGGACUUUAUUUUGGGUGGUCAUGGCAAAGUUUGAGAGUAUAGGGAGAGACUAGGACAGAGAAACAUCUCAGGAUAGUUUAGGUAACAAAGGACCACGAAAUUGGGGAAAAAAGAGGGGACAGUUUGAGAGAUACUUAACAGAAUAAACAAGGCUUGCUGACCAUGGAGAUGAGGACAGAGAAUCCUAGACUUCUAGGAUGGGCA
rnacentral:lncRNA from 1 species